rnacentral:lncRNA from 1 species
CUGCAUAGAUACGAUAUAAAAUAAAUAUAUACAAUUUCAAAUUGAUACAAUCUUUUUUUUUUAAAUUAUAUUCACAUUGCAUAUUAAUACAUGGUUAGAUUUUUUUUAAAAAAAAUAUUACUAUCUAACUUAUGCAACACACAUCCAAUAAGAAAAAUAUAUAGCACAAUACAAUUAAAAAAUGGUCUGAAUAAUAAAAAAAUAUAUGGUACGAAUAAUAAACAAAUACCCUAGCGGACGCACAUAUUUGCCGGUUUAACUUAAAUCUGUUUUUAGCAUAACUCAGAAUCGGUUUU